rnacentral:rRNA from 1 species
UACGUAGGGAGCAAGCGUUGUCCGGAAUCAUUGGGCGUAAAGCGCGCGUAGGUGGCUUCGUAAGUCCGUUGUGAAAGUCAAAGGCUCAACCUUUGAAAGCCGAUGGAUACUGCGGAGCUAGAGUACGGAAGAGGCGAGUGGAAUUCCUGGUGUAGCGGUGGAAUGCGCAGAUAUCAGGAGGAACACCAAUAGCGAAGGCAGCUCGCUGGGACGUUACUGACGCUGAGGAGCGAAAGCGUGGGGAGCGAACAGG